rnacentral:rRNA from 1 species
ACGGAGGGGGCUAGCGUUGUUCGGAAUUACUGGGCGUAAAGCGUGCGCAGGCGGUUUGUUAAGUCUGUUGUGAAAUCCCCGAGCUCAACUUGGGAAUUGCAAUGGAUACUGGCAGGCUAGAGUAUGGUAGAGGAAGGUGGAAUUCCACGUGUAGCAGUGAAAUGCGUAGAGAUGUGGAGGAACACCGAUGGCGAAGGCAGCCCCCUGGGUUAACACUGACGCUCAGGCACGAAAGCGUGGGGAGCAAACAGGA